rnacentral:rRNA from 1 species
UACGGAGGGUGCAAGCGUUAUCCGGAUUCACUGGGUUUAAAGGGUGCGUAGGCGGAUAGGUAAGUCAGUGGUGAAAUCUCCGAGCUUAACUCGGAAACUGCCGUUGAUACUAUUUGUCUUGAAUACUGUGGAGGUAAGCGGAAUAUGUCAUGUAGCGGUGAAAUGCUUAGAUAUGACAUAGAACACCAAUUGCGAAGGCAGCUUACUACACAACGAUUGACGCUGAGGCACGAAAGCGUGGGGAUCAAACAGG